AAAGCGGAAAUGGACGUGGAUUCAAUGGCGCGCCGUAGGAUUUGUUAGGUGUCUUGGAGGGUAAACGCGGUACAUACCUUUUUAAUAACACAGCAGCGUUUACUCACUUGUCAUUAUGCAAUUUAAAUGAUUUCAGUUAAAAAUACAUUAAUAAUGAAAACCGAGGCUACGAUCAACACCCACCUGGCAAGAAUAAGGAGAUGACGUCAGCGUCGGUUUGGAAAGUUGAGAAACUAGCAGCAUUUUCGGCUUUUAACAAAGAAUUACAAAAGAUCGUCAUGGCUACAGCAAUUCGUUUUGCAGUUGUGGGAUUUGCUUCUUCGUCAAACCCGUUCACAUCCCCAUCAACAUCAUCAUUGUAGGUGGUUUGGUGCCUGGAUGACUGGCUACAUGGAGGACAAACCUUUUUAAUAUAUCUUUUACAAUUUUUAAAAUAUAAAAUUUGUAUUUAUAUAUGGCUGUGUUAAUAAAACACGCAUGCGUGAAUCAUAAUUGAA